AAAUCCAAAAUCACAGGCUAGUCAUCAGCAUCAAAAGUUCAAAACACAUAUUCACCAUGUGUCCAGCUCCCCUGUCAAAAAACACAAACCAUUUCUCACUCUCAUCUUCUUUUCUUUCUCAAUCUCCUCCGUACCUUCCUCUCCUCGUUGCACCACAUCGACGCCGCGGCUCUGGAAUGUGAUGCCGUCGCUGCAGCUUUGCUGCGUCCCAUCGCCGCCUCGCCGUGCUCCUCUGCUUCUCUUUCCUCCACUUCUUUCUUGUGCUCCCCGUCGUACUCCUCUGUUGCCGUGCCACCUCAGCUCCAUCCAUCGCUGCUCGAUUCACUCUCCAUCAUCACAAUAGUGAGGUAGGCAAUGGAUCAUGGGAUUCAUGGUUUCUGCCUUUGUCAGAGCAGACUAAUAUUGUUUGUGAAAAGAUGAUUAGGAUUCCUGCAGUAUUAUGCAAAACACACUAGAAGCAGCAAUAAAUGACAUAAACAAUUCUUUUGGAAAGGGAAGUUUUACAAGUUGGGCAAUGCUGGGGGAGCUUUAGUUGAAACAUGUCCUAGCGGCUGUUUGACCUUGGACUGUGCUUUAGGUGGCGGUCUUCCAAAAGGUAGAAUUGCUGAGGUGCUAAACGCAGGCAAAAAUAAGCUUAGAUCCAUGGAUGAGGUCAGAUCACUUGUUAGCCUCCGAGCACUAAUUUUGAAGGGUCAGACUUCUUUUGCUAACUAUCUACUUUGAAGACAAGAAGAGGGCAAGAUUCCAUGGUUAGAAUGAGGAUGAUCAUGCUGAAGUUGUUGAUAAUCUUGAAUUUGAGAGAAAAUCGAGUAAGAAAAAGAAGAAAACUGUUGAUGAUUUCAAGAAGGAAGUCAGAGUCGCUGACGAGGAAAAUUAGAUCAUAACAAGAAAUCAACUAAGAAAAAGCUCAAGAAUGAUAGACAAGCCCACAGACAAGAAAUUAGCUCUGCAGGAGAAUGUUAUUUGGAUCGAGAAGAAACAUAAGAAAAAACAAGAAUGAGAAAAAAGUGAACUUGAUACGAUUGUUUAUAUCUAAUGUAUCAAUACACUAUUUGUGUUUAUGUUUUGAGUUGACUUGUUUGUUUUUAAUAUUUUUCUUUUAGUUUGAUAAUACGAUGAACUUGUUUAUUUUUUAAAA